UACGUAGGGGGCUAGCGUUGUCCGGAAUCAUUGGGCGUAAAGAGCGUGUAGGCGGCCCGGUAAGUCGGCUGUGAAAGUCCAGGGCUCAACCCUGGGAUGCCGGUCGAUACUGCCGGACUAGAGUUCGGAAGAGGCGAGUGGAAUUCCCGGUGUAGCGGUGAAAUGCGCAGAUAUCGGGAGGAACACCUAUGGCGAAGGCAGCUCGCUGGGACGUUACUGACACUGAGAGACGAAAGCUAGGGGAGCGAAUGGG
rnacentral:rRNA from 1 species